GAAGGAGACGCCCUGAGCAUUUUUUUUGGACGCCGUGAGCAUGGAAUGACCUUACUGCUCCAUCUCCAACAUAACUCCAGCUGCUAUUGCCAGUUUGGUCUUCUCUUCUACAUUGAUCCGUUUAGAUCCCAACUAAUCAAGAGAUAUGAGGACAGGGAGGAUGAAGGAGCCGCAGUUGUAAGUGCUACGGCGGGCGAGCAGGGAUGCAACUGGAGAUUGGUCAGAGACUGCAACAUAUUGUUAGCUUCAUGAGGUUGGGAGCAACUGGAUCUAGACCUCCCCGCAACUGACUAGAAAAGUGUUGACGAUGUUCUCUGAACUCUGAUCUCUCUCCCGUGUUUUCAGACAACAAUGAUCAGUAGU